rnacentral:rRNA from 1 species
AGGAUGAGUCUGCGGACUAUCAGGUUGUAGUCAGGGUAAUGACCUGACUAGCCUACGACGGAUACGGGUUGUGAGAGCACUAGCCCGGAGAUGAUAUCUGAGACACGAUAUCAGGCCCUACGGGGCGCAGCAGGCGCGAAAACUUCGCACUGUGCGAAAGCACGACGAGGGAAUCCCAAGUGCUAGCUCGUAAGAGUUAGCUGUUUUUCUGUCUAAAAAACAGAGAGAGUAAGGGCUGGGUAAGACGGGUGCCAGCCGCCGCGGUAAUACCUGCAGCCCAAGUGGUGGCCGCUAUUAUUGGGCCUAAAACGUCCGUAGCCGGUUCUAUAAAUGCCUGGGUAAAUCGUACGGCUUAACCGUACGAAUUCCGGGUAGACUGUUCAACUUGGGACCGGGAGAGGCUAGAGGUACUCCUGGGGUAGAGGUGAAAUUCUGUAAUCCUAGGGGGACCACCAGUGGCGAAGGCGUCUAGCUAGAACGGGUCUGACGGUGAGGGACGAAGCCCUGGGGCGCAAACGGGAUUAGAUACCCCGGUAGUCCAGGGUGUAAACGCUGCUCGCUUGAUGUUAGUCGGGCUCCGAGCCCGACUAGUGUCGGAGAGAAGUUGUUAAGCGAGCUGCCUGGGGAGUACGGUCGCAAGACUGAAACU